UACGUAGGGUGCAAGCGUUAAUCGGAAUUACUGGGCGUAAAGCGUGCGCAGGCGGUUUUGUAAGUCUGACGUGAAAUCCCCGGGCUCAACCUGAGAAUUGCGUUGGAGACUGCAAGGCUAGAAUCUGGCAGAGGGGGGUAGAAUUCCACGUGUAGCAGUGAAAUGCGUAGAGAUGUGGAGGAACACCGAUGGCGAAGGCAGCCCCCUGGGUCAAGAUUGACGCUCAUGCACGAAAGCGUGGGGAGCAAACAGG
rnacentral:rRNA from 1 species